rnacentral:tRNA from 1 species
UGGGAUAUGCUCUAUGGUACAGCACUUGGUUAGCACAUAGGAGGCCCUAGGUUCAAUCCCUAGUACUGCAA